rnacentral:rRNA from 1 species
AGCCUGCAACUCGGCUGCAUGAAGCUGGAAUCGCUAGUAAUCGCGGAUCNGAAUGCCGCGGUGAAUACGUUCCCGGGUCUUGUACACACCGCCCGUCACACCAUGGGAGUUGGAAAUGCCCGAAGUCAGUGGCCCAACCGCAAGGAGGGAGCUGCCGAAGGCAGGUUCGAUGACUGGGGUGAAGUCGUAACAAGGUAAC